rnacentral:rRNA from 1 species
AACGAACGCUGGCGGCAUGCCUAACACAUGCAAGUCGAACGAGACCUUCGGGUCUAGUGGCGCACGGGUGCGUAACGCGUGGGAACCUGCCCUUAGGUUCGGAAUAACUCCCCGACAGGGGUGCUAAUACCGGAUAAUGUCUUCGGACCAAAGAUUUGUCGCCUUUGGAUGGGCCCGCGUUGGAUUAGCUAGUUGGUAGGGUAAAAGCCUACCAAGGCGACGAUCCAUAGCUGGUCUGAGAGGAUGAUCAGGCACACUGGGACUGAGACACGGCCCAGACUCCUACGGGAGGCAGCAGUGGGGAAUAUUGGACAAUGGGCGAAAGCCUGAUCCAGCAAUGCCGCGUGAGUGAUGAAGGCCUUAGGGUUGUAAAGCUCUUUUACCCGGGAUGAUAAUGACAGUACCGGGAGAAUAAGCUCCGGCUAACUCCGUG